rnacentral:rRNA from 1 species
GACAGAGGUGCCGAGCGUUAGGCGGAAUCACCGGGCUUAAAGCGUGUGUAGGCGGACGGGUAAGUACCUUGUGAAAUCUCACGGCUCAACCGUGGAACUGCUGGGUAUACUGCCUGUCUUGAGUCAUCUAGGGGCGAGCGGAACAAAUGGUGGAGCGGUGAAAUGCGUAGAUAUCAUUUGGAACGCCAAUGGUGAAAACAGCUCGCUGGGGAUGUACUGACGCUGAGACACGAAAGCCAGGGGAGCAAACGGG